GACGAACGCUGGCGGCGUGCUUAACACAUGCAAGUCGAACGGAAAGGCCCUGCUUUUGUGGGGUGCUCGAGUGGCGAACGGGUGAGUAACACGUGAGUAACCUGCCCUUGACUUUGGGAUAACUUCAGGAAACUGGGGCUAAUACCGGAUAGGAGCUCCUGCUGCAUGGUGGGGGUUGGAAAGUUUCGGCGGUUGGGGAUGGACUCGCGGCUUAUCAGCUUGUUGGUGGGGUAGUGGCUUACCAAGGCGUUGACGGGUAGCCGGCCUGAGAGGGUGACCGGCCACAUUGGGACUGAGAUGCGGCCCAGCCUCCUACGGGAGGCAGCAGUGGGGAAUAUUGCACAAUGGGCGGAAGCCUGAUGCAGCAACGCCGCGUGCGGGAUGACGGCCUUCGGGUUGUAAACCGCUUUCGCCUGUGACGAAGCGUGAGUGACGGUAAUGGGUAAAGAAGCACCGGCUAACUACGUG
rnacentral:rRNA from 1 species